GGUGCGGAGCCGUAGCGAAAGCGAGUUUUAACUGAGCGUUCAGUUACUUGACGUAGACCCGAAACCGGGCGACCUACCCAUGAGCAGGAUGAAGCGAAAGUAAAAUUUCGUGGAGGUCCGAACCCACGAGCGUUGAAAAGCUCGGGGAUGACUUGUGGGUAGCGGUGAAAUUCCAAUCGAGCCCGGAGAUAGCUGGUUCUCCCCGAAAUAGCUUUAGGGCUAGCCUCAAGGUGAGAGAUACGGAGGUAGAGCACUGAAUGUCCUAGGGGGUAUUGCACCUACCGAAGACUAUCAAACUCCGAAUGCCGUCAUCUUAUACUUGGGAGUCAGACUGUGGGUGAUAAGAUUCAUAGUCGAAAGGGCAACAGCCCAGAUCGUCAGCUAAGGUCCCUAAAUGUAAGUUAAGUGGUAAAGGAUGUGGGAUUGCACAGACAACCAGGAUGUUGGCUUAGAAGCAGCCACUCAUUCAAAGAGUGCGUAAUAGCUCACUGGUCGAGUGAUCCUGCGCCGAAGAUUUCCGGGGCUAAAACUUACUACCGAAGCUACGGCAUCAGUAAUGAUGGGUAGGGGAGCUUCCCAUACGGGUUGAAGCAUGACCGUAAGGACAUGUGGACAGUAUGGGAGUGAGAAUGUUGGCAUGAGUAGCGAGAUGUGGGUGAGAAUCCCACAGGCCGUAAACCCAAGGUUUCCAGGGGAAGGUUCGUCCGCCCUGGGUUAGUCGGGACCUAAGCUGAGGCCGAAAGGCGUAGGUGAUGGACAACAGGUUGAUAUUCCUGUAC
rnacentral:rRNA from 1 species